rnacentral:sRNA from 1 species
AACAUAUUAAUGCUGAAUCAUUUUGAACGGGAGAAUCAAUUUUUUGGGGUGAAUCUUGUAAGAAUUAUAAGUAGGGUUAAUUUCUCGUACCCGAAUCCGUCAGUUAAUCUCGUAAGCAUCUAAGAGAAGUUUU